CCCUUAGAUGUUCUGGGCUGCACACGUGCUACACUGGCAGGUUCAGCGAGCUUCAUGCCCUGAUCUGAAAGGAAUGGGAAAUCUUUUCAAAACCUGCCGUGCUUGGGAUAGAUGUUUGCAAUUAUUCAUCUUCAACGAGGAUUGCCUUGUAAGCGCACGUCACCAGCGUGCAUUGAAUACGACCCUGUAUUCUGUACACACCGCCCGUCGCUCCUACCGAUUGAAGUUUUCGGUGAGUUGACAGGAGGAUUUUUUUGAAACUGGUUCGCCAGUGGAUUUUAGAUCCAAAUGCCAACGAAUCGAUGGCUUUAGAGGAAGGAGAAGUCGCAACA
rnacentral:rRNA from 1 species